CAGCAAAAACUCCUCGCGUCUGACCAGCAGAAGCUGUGCCAUGCUGGACGCCGUACGGCGCGCUCGGCUAAAGCAGCUCCGAGGGCCUCGUAGUCAAGCCCCCAAAGUCCCCAAGGCGGCCCACGCCUGCCUGCAGUCUCGGCCUCUUACAAAGACUGCGACGCCUAACCAUGCAUCGCCUCAGGCACAUCGAGGGCAAGCACUGGCCCUGUCCUCUCUGCAGUAAAACGUUCUUUCGACUGAGGAAUGUACGGAACCACAUCCGAACCCACGACCCCAAGUUGUACAAAUGCCGGAGCUGCAUGUCGGCCGGCUCCUGAGGCUUCUGCCCGCUGGACUUCUGAGACCGAGGAUGACGGCUGUCAGCGUCUUUGGGCCGCCGACGAACAGGGCCGCCGCCGCCACCACCGCCGCCGGCCCGCCAUCGAUCUGCAGCUUGUACAUAAUGAAUUAGUCACACACAAGCACAACGGUCUGUGGAAAAGGCAUAAUUACUUUCUAUUCUAAUCAUUGCCGUUAUCAAUGAUUGCUGAUGUUAGUUUAAAUAACCAAACCAAGGUUGCUGUUCCUGUUUGCUUUUGCGUAGCUGAAGAAGUUAAACUUGAAACAUUACUCUCAGGGGCUGGGAACUAGACGCCACGGUCAUAAAGUGAUUGAACAUCACGGUUUGUGUACAAAAUGAAACGUAGAGUGAUUGUUAUGACUAUUACUUCUACUUAUUGUUAUCUUUAUUUUUCUAUGUACGGAUGAUUUUGAGUGCACUUUUUAUCAUAGCUUACGUGUAAACCUAAGAAGUGGUAUGAAGGUCUGGAGUCCGCAGCGGGAAUACUUGAAGCGACGCAAGUGCUGGAGGGAAAUACUUGAAGCU